GAAUGAAGAAAGUAUGGUAAUAUACACAAAAAUUGAUUUGGGUUUCUCGGCCUGCCCUCUUUGAUGCCUUUCAGCUUUGAUUUCGGGGCAUGGUUCCCACAAAAACGU